UUUCACUUCAAGUCAUCCUCGGUCACCAAAGCAAUCGAAGACUCGUUGAGCUCGAUCGUCUUGUUUCUGAGAUGUCUCUUUCUACCUGGGACUAUCUCACCCUUCUCCUUCUUCGUCCUCUCUUCGCAAUCGCACUCGUCGUCUUGUUCAUUGCUUCCGGUUGGUAUUUGGCGUGGAAGCUGGUUUUGGUUCAUGUUCCUCUUGUUCAAGAGAUUUUCGGGUUGAAAAAGAAGCCCGUCAAUCCCAAACCCGCAACUCGUGGACGAUUUUCGAAGUUUUACAGUACAUUGGAAACCCAGAAUUCAGCUUCUAAAUGAAAUGAAGGGAGAGCAAAGUUGGUAGAUUCAUGUGUGAUUGGAGGGUAAGGGAAUCCAUGACACCAAGUUCAUUGUUUGAUGGAAGGAAGAAUUCGACGACACACUUUCCAAGGGUGGAGAUUAUGUUCCUUUGUGUAUAGCAGUAUAGAUUGAUUUGAACAGAUUAUGCUCCUUGUGUAUAGAUUUAAAUUUUUGGAGUCAUUUGACCAAAAGGAUUGCAUUCACUAAUUCAGAACAAAAUUUGGGGUAUUAGUGUAUUACUUGCAAAGAAACCAUCU